rnacentral:rRNA from 1 species
UACGAAGGGGGCUAGCGUUGUUCGGAAUUACUGGGCGUAAAGCGCGCGCAGGCGGCUAUCCAAGUCAGUGGUGAAAGCCCGGAGCUCAACUCCAGAACUGCCAUUGAAACUGUUUAGCUUGAGGAUGAGAGAGGUGAGUGGAAUUCCCAGUGUAGAGGUGAAAUUCGUAGAUAUUGGGAAGAACACCGGUGGCGAAGGCGGCUCACUGGCUCAUUACUGACGCUCAGGCGCGAUAGCGUGGGGAUCAAACAGG